UUCUUUUUGGGUUUUAAGGGUAGCA
rnacentral:piRNA from 1 species